UACGGGAGGCAGCAGUGGGGAAUAUUGCACAAUGGGCGCAAGCCUGAUGCAGCCAUGCCGCGUGUAUGAAAAAGGCCUUCGGGUUGUAAAGUACUUUCAGUCGUGAGGAAGGUGUUAAGGUUAAUAACCUUAGCAAUUGACGUUAGCGACAGAAGAAGCACCGGCUAACUCCGUGCCAGCAGCCGCGGUAAUACGGAGGGUGCGAGCGUUAAAUCGGAAUUACUGGGCGUAAAAGGGCACGCAGGCGGUUAAUUAAAGUUGGAUGUGAAAAUCCCCGGGCUUAACCUGGGAAUGGCAUUCAAGACUGGUUAGCUAGAGUCUUGUAGAGGGGGUAGAAAGUUCCAUGUGUAGCGGUGAAAUGCGUAGAGAUGUGGAGGAAAUACCGGUGGCGAAAGGCGGCCCCUGGACAAAAGGACUGACGCUCAUGUGCGAAAAGCGUGGGGAGCAAAACAGGGAUUAGAUACC
rnacentral:rRNA from 1 species